rnacentral:lncRNA from 1 species
AUUGCUCUUUCUUUUUUCGUGUUGCACAAGCAGAGAAGCUUUUAGCUUUCAUCAAAAUUAUGACGUCGAUAGAAAGGGCCCGAUAUAAAUUCCGUUACAUUAAUUAACAACACCUUGUACAACAUUCUUUUCGGAAUUAAAAGGAGUAAGAUAUAGAUUAAACAAAACUAUCCGUCACAAUGCUAUAUAUAUAUUACGGUCUGUAUUAGGGGAGGA